rnacentral:misc_RNA from 1 species
AUCGUGCAAGAAGUUCAGUUAAAAAGAACAUAUAUUGCGAAGUUCAUAGCGAGAGAACGUGAUGGCGAUAUUGCUGCGAACUGAACUUGUGAAUGGCUUUGAGCAGUAUUGUCUGAGAUACAUGAGAUUGCUUCACACGAAAGAGAAUACUAUUAAAAUGAUCGAAGUUACAAAUCAGAAUUUCAAUGAGAUAUAUCCACAUUUGGAGCACGCAAUGAAAAAUGCGAGUUUUAUAGCGAUUGACGGAGAAUUCACAGGUAUAGAAGUGGCUAAUGUAAAAAAUAGUUUGUUCGAUUCCAUACAUGAACGCUAUGAGAAAAAUAGGAGUAGUAUUCAGCCCUACAUAGUAAUUCAAUUCGGUAUCUCGGUGUUUCAACGUGUCCCAGAUGAGAAUGUAUAUACUGCAGAGGUCUUUAAUUUCUUUCUGCUACCCAGAUCGAUUUCGUUAAAAAGCAGGCAAUUCCUCUGGCAAGUUUCAGCGUUGGAGUUUUUAACUUUGUAUGGAUUUGAUUUCAAUAAACUUGCUUAUCAGGGUAUUUCAUAUCUUAAUCAAGAUGAUGAAGCAAUCUUACGACAACAACUACAGGAGAAUACAUUAUUCAAUAGUGUGGAGCAAUCUAUCUCUUAUGUAGAAGAAGAGGAUUUUAAAGACAAAGUCAUACAGAUAAACGAAUGGUUGAACAAUGCUAAGAAUGAAACUGACUCAUUUAAAAUUGAUUCUCCUACUCCAACUUUACAAUAUUAUAUGCAUAAAGAAUUGAGAAGAUAUUUCUCAAAUAUUUGGACUUAUUCAGGGAAUAAUGUGAUAACUGUGAUUAAAGUGCCAUCAGAAUCAAGAAAGAUUUUAGAGCAGGAAGAAGGCUCUAUAUUAGACAAGGUAUUGCUCGAGUCAUACAUAGGUUUUUCAAAAGUAUUUAAGCUUUUGGUUACUUUACAAAAACCUGUAAUUGUACAUAAUGGUUUUCUAGACUUUAUGUUUAUACAUCAACAAUUUUACAAAUCAUUACCACAAAAAUAUAAUGAAUUUAAAAAUAACAUACAUAAACUGUUCCCAAUAAUUUAUGAUACCAAAUUCUUAAGUUUUGAACUAAGAGAGAUCCUUAAAACAGAAGAAAAGUGGAAAGUUAAUACUCUAGGUGGUUUAGUUCAUCAUUUUACAGAAAAACAUGGAAAAAAUGUACCGCUUGGAUCACCUGUUAUUAAACUUACUAGUCAAACAGAUUCAGAUAAAAUAGAUGAUAUUAUAUCUCCUAAAAAAUAUCAUACUGCAGGAUGGGAUGCUUAUUUUACUGGUUAUAUAUUUAUUAGAAUUUCUCAUCUAUUUGCUACAAAACGUUAUGAAGAAAGUUUGACUUCGAAACAAUUUACACAUACAGAAUUAAUGAACAGUGUAAAACGCUAUACAAAUUGUGUAAACAUUGUACGGGGUAGUACUUCAUAUAUGACUUUUGAUGGACCUGAACCUAAAUCGACUCGACCAAAAUGGCUUUACGUGAAAACAUUAGCAACAAAACCGAUAACUGCUUUACAGAUAGCUGAAAAAAUGUCAAAAUUUGGCGCUGUGGACGUGAAACAAUAUACACCCAAGCGCGCGUUAGUUGCAGUAGCAAAUCAUGGAAGCGCACGGGAUAUAUUGCUACACUUCAAACAAAAUAAGGAGUUAUAUGUAGUACCUUAUAGUUCCAUACGGCAUUCACGAUCAGUUCAACUUCUCUUAUGCAGGGGAUCAAUCUGCAAAAGAAAACAGAGCCGCCAAUCACGCCAAUCACCGGGCAAUGCAUCUUCCGAUCGAAGUAAUCCGCACUUUGUCGCGCUUCUGAGGAAGCAUCACGGCGCGUUCCAUCGAUAUCUCCGCAAAAGUUUUCUCUGGCCGCUACCCAAGGCCAAAGCACUCGAAAUAAUGCGGCAGUAAUUCGUGUGGGCGUGCGGCCGGACAGUCAGCUUGGUCGCACUGGUAUCCGAUGGCAGGUGGACUCACAAGAGGGGUGGUCCCUCCUCUUGCUCUCGUAUCGCGUAGACGAGGUUCAAAAGCGUCGAGAAAGCGUCCACAUUGAGAUAUCAAUCUCGUGCAGCUUCACAUACGCAAAUGCAAUCCUGGCGAAUGAUCAACGUGUACAAAUACAGAAAAUAACGUUGACGUAGGCGGGACGACAUUUCUCAAACUUGUAAAAACGGUACUGGAUCACGACUCACGUAAAUGCGUUUGGCAGCCGCAUGUGUACGCGUACACGCAUGCCGGCGCUUGUCUACGAAGUUGAAGUCCAUCAACAAUCUUCUAAGACUUUUCAACAACAUCAACAUCUAUUAUGCGAACAUAAGAUUGCAUGUCAUUGCAAGAUUAUUAUAUCGCGUGCGAUAUAUAAACUUUUUAUCACCAUUAUAAUUUUUCUUCAUUUGAUCGAGAUUGUUUUUCACGAAAUAUUUUAUGUUUCUUUCAA